rnacentral:rRNA from 1 species
UACGAAGGGGGCUAGCGUUGUUCGGAUUUACUGGGCGUAAAGCGCACGUAGGCGGAUCUUUAAGUCAGAGGUGAAAUCCCAAGGCUCAACCUUGGAACUGCCUUUGAUACUGAGGAUCUUGAGUUCGGGAGAGGUGAGUGGAACUGCGAGUGUAGAGGUGAAAUUCGUAGAUAUUCGCAAGAACACCAGUGGCGAAGGCGGCUCACUGGCCCGAUACUGACGCUGAGGCACGAAAGCGUGGGGAGCAAACAGG